AUCGCUUCUCGGCCUUUUGGCUCAGAUCAAGUGUAGUAUCUGUUCUUAUCAGUUUAAUAUCUGAUACGUCCCCCAUCGGGGGACUACAUAUUAAAUGGAUUUUUUGAACAGGGAGUCGGAAAUGGGGCUUGCUCCGUCCGCUCCACGCAUCGACCCGGUAUUGCAGUACCUCCGGGAAUGGUGCAACACUU
rnacentral:snRNA from 8 species